rnacentral:rRNA from 1 species
ACGUAAUAGAUACCCGGGUAGUCCUGGCCCUAAACGAUGUCCACUAGAUCGUGGCGGCUCUGACGCUGUCAUGGUCGAAAGCAAAAGUGCUAAGUGGACCGCCUGGGAAGUACGGUCGCAAGGCUAAAACUCAAAGGAAUUGACGGGGGCUCACACAAGCGGUGGAGCAUGUGGUUCAAUUCGAAGCAACGCGCAGAACCUUACCUGGGCUUGACAUGCUAGGAUUAUCUCUAUGAAAGUAGAGUAGGCCCUUCGGGGUACGAACUAGUACAGGUGCUGCAUGGCUGUCGUCAGCUCGUGUCGUGAGAUGUC